rnacentral:rRNA from 1 species
AUUGAACGCUGGCGGCAGGCCUAACACAUGCAAGUCGAGCGGAUGAAGGGAGCUUGCUCCUGGAUUCAGCGGCGGACGGGGGAGUAAUGCCUAGGAAUCUGCCUGGUAGUGGGGGAUAACGUCCUGAAACGGGCGCUAAUACCGCAUACGUCCUGCGGGAGAAAGAGGGGGAUCUUCGGAACUCACGCUAUCAGAGGAGCCUAGGUCGGGUUAGCUAGUUGGUGGGGUAAAGGCCUACCAAGUAGACGAUCCGUAACUGGUCGGAGAGGAUGAUCAGUCACCCUGGAACUGGACCACGGUCCAGACUCCUACGGGAGGCAGCAGUGGGGAAUAUUGGACAAUGGGCGAAAGCCUGAUCCAGCCAUGCCGCGUGUGUGAAGAAGGUCUUCGGAUUGUAAAGCACUUUAAGUUGGGAGGAAGGGCAGUAAGUUAAUACCUUGCUGUUUUGACGUUACCAACAGAAUAAGCACCGGCUAACUUCGUG